rnacentral:rRNA from 1 species
UACGUAGGGUGCAAGCGUUUGUCCGGAAUUAUUGGGCGUAAAGAGCUCGUAGGCGGUUUGUCGCGUCGAAUGUGAAAACCCGGGGCUCAACUCCGGGCCUGCAUUCGAUACGGGCAGACUAGAGUUCGGUAGGGGAGUCUGGAAUUCCUGGUGUAGCGGUGAAAUGCGCAGAUAUCAGGAGGAACACCGGUGGCGAAGGCGGUUCUCUGGGCAUUACCUGACGCUGAGGAGCGAAAGUGUGGGGAGCGAACAGG